rnacentral:antisense_RNA from 1 species
CCACUCGGAAGACGUCCUAAUCCGAGCCAUUAAACGACAGAUUUUAUCCCCCUCUUCCCCAUUAUCUCUUGAUACUCGGAGUGCGCAUAUACGAAACAUACCUGUUCCCCUUUAUAUCAGAUACUCAAAACCGAAAAACACGAAACCCACUGCCGAUACAGUGGGUUUCGUGUUU